GACAGAGGGUGCAAACGUUGCUCGGAAUCACUGGGCGUAAAGGGCGUGUAGGCGGGAAGGAAAGUCAGAUGUGAAAUCCCCGGGCUCAACCCGGGAACUGCGUCCGAUACUGGAAGGCUUGAAUCCGGGAGAGGGAUGCGGAAUUCCAGGUGUAGCGGUGAAAUGCGUAGAUAUCUGGAGGAACACCGGUGGCGAAGGCGGCAUCCUGGACCGGCAUUGACGCUGAGGCGCGAAAGCCAGGGGAGCAAACGGG
rnacentral:rRNA from 1 species